rnacentral:rRNA from 1 species
GAUCCCGCCGGAGGUCACUGCUAUCCGAAUCCGACUAAGCCAUGCAAGUCUUUCCGCAAGGAAGGCAGACAGCUCAGUAACACGUAGUUAAUUUGCCCUUAGGUUCGGAAUAAUCCCGAGAAAUUGGGGCUAAUACCGAAUAGGCCAUGGAUGCUGGAAUGCGCCAUGACCCAAAGCUUCGGUGCCUAAGGAUAAGACUGCGGCAGAUUAGCUAGUUGUUGAGAUAAAAGCUCAACAAGGCUAUAAUCUGUACGGGCCUUGAGAGAGGAAGCCCGGAGAUGGAUUCUGAGACAAGAAUCCAGGUCCUACGGGACGCAGCAGGCGCGAAACUUCCACAAUGCACGCAAGUGUGAUGGGGGGAUUUGGAGUGCCUCUUAAUAUAAUUAAGGGGCUUUUGUCGACUCUAAAAAGGUCGACGAAUAAGUGGUGGGUAAGACGGGUGCCAGCCGCCGCGGUAAUACCCGCGCCACGAGUGGUGACCACGUUUAUUGGGCUUAAAGCGUUCGUAGCCGGUACGAUAAGUUCCUAAUGAAAUUUCAUAGUCAACUAUGAAGCGUGUUGGGAAUACUGUCGAACUUGAGACCGGGAGAAGUCAAGGGUAUUAUUGGGGUAGGGGUAAAAUCCUGUAAUCCCAAUAAGACCGCCUGUGGCGAAGGCGCUUGACUAGAACGGAUCUGACGGUGAGGGACGAAAGCCAGGGGAGCGAAGGGGAUUAGAUACCCCCGUAGUCCUGGCCGUAAACGAUGCCCGCUAGGCAUUGGAGAUCUUAAGGGGGUCUCCAGAGCCGUAGGGAAACCGUUAAGCGGGCCGCCUGGGGAGUACGUUCGCAAAGAUGAAACUUAAGGGAAUUGGCGGGGGAGCACACAAGGGGUGGAGGCUGCGGUUUAAUUCGACUCAACGCGAGAAACCUUACUAGCGGCGACAGCAGAAUGAAGGUCAGGCUGAUGGUCUUACCAAACAAGCUGAGAGGUGGUGCAUGGCCGUCGUCAGUUCGUGCCGUGAGGUGUCGACUUAAGUGUCGUAACGAACAAGACCCGCGCCCUAUGUUACCACGGGCUUCUUUAGAGGUCCAGUACUCAUAGGGGACCGCUGUUGAUAAAACCGAGGAAGGAGCGGUCGACGGCAGGUCAGUAUGCUCUGAAUCCGCUAGGUUACACGCGGCCUACAAUGGCUGGAAUAAUGGGAUGUGACUCCGAAAGGAAGAACUAAUCCUCAAAUCCAGUCUUAGUUCAGAUUGAGGGCUGUAACCCGCCCUCAUGAAGCCGAAAUCCCUAGUAGUCGCUGGUCAUAUCUAGCGGCGAAUAUGUUCCUGCUCCUUGCACACACUGCCCGUCAAGCCAACCGAGUGGAUCUUUGGCGAGCUCUCAUCUUUUGGUGAGAUCAAGUCACAGUUUUGCAAGGUGGGCUAAGUCGUAACAAGGUA